rnacentral:rRNA from 1 species
CAUGGCUCAGGAUGAACGCUGGCGGCGUGCCUAAUACAUGCAAGUCGAGCGAAUGGAUUGAGAGCUUGCUCUCAAGAAGUUAGCGGCGGACGGGUGAGUAACACGUGGGUAACCUGCCCAUAAGACUGGGAUAACUCCGGGAAACCGGGGCUAAUACCGGAUAACAUUUUGAACUGCAUGGUUCGAAAUUGAAAGGCGGCUUCGGCUGUCACUUAUGGAUGGACCCGCGUCGCAUUAGCUAGUUGGUGAGGUAACGGCUCACCAAGGCAACGAUGCGUAGCCGACCUGAGAGGGUGAUCGGCCACACUGGGACUGAGACACGGCCCAGACUCCUACGGGAGGCAGCAGUAGGGAAUCUUCCGCAAUGGACGAAAGUCUGACGGAGCAACGCCGCGUGAGUGAUGAAGGCUUUCGGGUCGUAAAACUCUGUUGUUAGGGAAGAACAAGUGCUAGUUGAAUAAGCUGGCACCUUGACGGUACCUAACCAGAAAGCCACGGCUAACUACGUGCCAGCAGCCGCGGUAAUACGUAGGUGGCAAGCGUUAUCCGGAAUUAUUGGGCGUAAAGCGCGCGCAGGUGGUUUCUUAAGUCUGAUGUGAAAGCCCACGGCUCAACCGUGGAGGGUCAUUGGAAACUGGGAGACUUGAGUGCAGAAGAGGAAAGUGGAAUUCCAUGUGUAGCGGUGAAAUGCGUAGAGAUAUGGAGGAACACCAGUGGCGAAGGCGACUUUCUGGUCUGUAACUGACACUGAGGCGCGAAA